rnacentral:lncRNA from 1 species
CCAGCCAGGUUCAACUCCAACCCGAACUAUCUCGGACCUCGCCAAUAGUCGAACUUCACCAAUGGCAGAUUUCUACAACUACCAGACUUCAUCCGGACUCCUACGAGAGUCGGACAUCGUCCCCAACCUUAACUGCUGGAAGGCUCUGUCCAGACUCCUACGGGAUCCGGACCUCAUCCUCAACCUCGACUGGAGGCGGACUUCGUCCGGACUCUUACGGGAGUCGGACCUCAUCCUCAACCUCGACUGUAGGAGGACUUCAUCCGAACUCCUACGGGAGCCGAAC